rnacentral:rRNA from 1 species
GACGAACGCUGUCGGCGUGCUUAACACAUGCAAGUCGAACGGAAAGGCCCUGCUUUUGUGGGGUGCUCGAGUGGCGAACGGGUGAGUAACACGUGAGUAACCUGCCCUUGACUUUGGGAUAACUUCAGGAAACUGGGGCUAAUACCGGAUAGGAGCUCCUGCUGCAUGGUGGGGGUUGGAAAGUUUCGGCGGUUGGGGAUGGACUCGCGGCUUAUCAGCUUGCUGGUGGGGUAGUGGCUUACCAAGGCUUUGACGGGUAGCCGGCCUGAGAGGGUGACCGGCCACAUUGGGACUGAGAUACGGCCCAGACUCCUACGGGAGGCAGCAGUGGGGAAUAUUGCACAAUGGGCGGAAGCCUGAUGCAGCAACGCCGCGUGCGGGAUGACGGCCUUCGGGUUGUAAACCGCUUUCGCCUGUGACGAAGCGUGAGUGACGGUAAUGGGUAAAGAAGCACCGGCUAACUACGUGCCAGCAGCCGCGGUGAUACGUAGGGUGCGAGCGUUGUCCGGAUUUAUUGGGCGUAAAGGGCUCGUAGGUGGUUGAUCGCGUCGGAAGUGUAAUCUUGGGGCUUAACUCUGAGCGUGCUUUCGAUACGGGUUGACUUGAGGAAGGUAGGGGAGAAUGGAAUUCCUGGUGGAGCGGUGGAAUGCGUAGAUAUCAGGAGGAACACCAGUGGCGAAGGCGGUUCUCUGGGCCUUUCCUGACGCUGAGGAGCGAAAGCGUGGGGAGCGAACAGGCUUAGAUACCCUGGUAGUCCACGCUGUAAACGGUGGGUACUAGGUGUGGGGUCCAUUCCACGGGUUCCGUGCCGUAGCUAACGCUUUAAGUACCCCGCCUGGGGAGUACGGCCGCAAGGCUAAAACUCAAAGGAAUUGACGGGGCCCCGCACAAGCGGCGGAGCAUGCGGAUUAAUUCGAUGCAACGCGUAGAACCUUACCUGGGUUUGACAUGGAUCGGGAGUGCUCAGAGAUGGGUGUGCCUCUUUUGGGGUCGGUUCACAGGUGGUGCAUGGCUGUCGUCAGCUCGUGUCGUGAGAUGUUGGGUUAAGUCCCGCAACGAGCGCAACCCUUGUUCACUGUUGCCAGCACGUUAUGGUGGGGACUCAGUGGAGACCGCCGGGGUCAACUCGGAGGAAGGUGGGGAUGACGUCAAGUCAUCAUGCCCCUUAUGUCCAGGGCUUCACGCAUGCUACAAUGGCUGGUACAGAGAGUGGCGAGCCUGUGAGGGUGAGCGAAUCUCGGAAAGCCAGUCUCAGUUCGGAUUGGGGUCUGCAACUCGACCUCAUGAAGUCGGAGUCGCUAGUAAUCGCAGAUCAGCAACGCUGCGGUGAAUACGUUCCCGGG